CAGAAUGUCUCUGAAAUGAGAUGAGUGGAAAAUGCCUUAAACAGGUGGAUGUGGAACAGGUCGGGGACUUUAAGGACUUCAGUGGAGGAGGGGUGGGUUGGGGAAGGGAAACAAAUGAAGAUGUCUUAGAAGUCACUGCAAUUUAUAUGGAAUCUGUUCAACGCCGACACUGAACCAUAUGAGAAGGACGUUUGAAACUAUUGCUUUGCUGAAAACAUCUGACUGCCAGGCUAGGAUGUGACACUUAAGGGGACUUACCAAUUUGGGAUUCUUCCAGGAGCUGAAAACUGAUUGCAAAUAUGAAACAGAUUUCACUACAGGACUUGAACCCUACAUUAAAAAACAACAAGCUCCCCAAAAUAAUUGAAAAAGAUCUUCACCAAAGAGUAGCUGCAAUGUGAAUGGCAGGAUAUGAAGCAAGUAAGAGGAGCUAUCACUGCCAAAGGCUACUGACUAGAUGGUGAAAAGAUUAUCUUAAGCUUGGAAUUAAGUGAUGAAAGGGACCUUCGAAAUUAUCAACUCUAAAUACUUCUUUACAGGGAAAAUUGAAAGCAGUUAAGAACCUGCCCCCUACCGUGGAGUUCUUGGUGCCGUGAGUUGGAGUUCUUGGUGCCUGGGUGCGUCCCCAAGGCCACUGGUCUUCAGAUCUUUCUUACUUGAGAAGAACGCCUCCGCCUCCUGGCUCUCCCACCAGUGGUAUUGCCACCACCACACACCAGCAUAAAGCACAGAUUGCUGCCCAGCUCCUUGGAGAGGGGCCAGUGCAUUUGUCAGGAAUUGAAAAGUUUUGGAGCCAGUUCGAGGACUUUCUCCUGCACAAAGUGUUGGCUGGAAGCAUGGAUUAUCUCACACAGAGCGUUGGAAUUACUUCAUGAUGAUUUCAAAGAAAAUUUUCUUCUCUAAACACUCUUAUCCCAAGGGGCAUCCUAAAGUUCCUCUGGAAUGCAUUGGGUGGGAGAGAAAGUUCUAUGUCAACUCUUCUGGCAGAGGGGAAAAGCUGACCGAGGAAGUCAAAAUGAAAGAAAGAAGCAGACAGGACUGAGGCUCCCUGAGGAUGCAGAAACUGAGGCACAGAGCAAGGGGGCUAGGAUUCUUGACUUUCUUCUGCAGAACACUGAAACAUGCCUCCUCUUUCCUGGCCCCACCAAGCAGAGUUUAGGCUUCAAGAAGACUGAAUGCAUCUGUACAGAGCACAAUCCCUUCUCCAAGAAGGAAACCAUGGGGCUUAUCAAGAAAGGGCGUACACUGAAGAGACUGGAAAGUGAAGAUGCACUAUUUGUCAAGGAUGUGCCACAGCAGAAGCAAGUUGUGUUGGCAGUAGGGAAACAAGAUAAAGAGAAGAACUCAAAGAAUUGAGAGAAGGCUUUGAACAUGAUGAUGGAGAAAUAACACUCUUGGGAGAAAUGAAGAUACUUUCUCCUCCCUGGUUUACCUGAGUUUCCAGCACCCAGUGAUAAGAAAGGAUGGCAUUAGUGAUGUGUACACCUGCAGUGAUAGCUUCACCUUUCUAAAGCAGAUGCCGUGGUAGACAUUUUGCCAGCCCUCCUUUCACUAUACACACAGCUUGGUGUACGCUGGCAGACUUUUGACCUAAUUUCUUAACCCUCAAAUAUUCCAAGACAGAACAAAGCACACAACAAAACCAGAAUGAGGCCGGGCAAAGUGGCUCAUGCCCGUAAUCCCAGCACUUUGGGAGGCUAAGGGGUGGGCAGAUCACUUGAGGUCAGGAGUUUGAGACCAGCCUAGGCAACAUGGUGAAACCCAGUCUCUACUGAAAAUACAAAAAUCAGCCGGGUGUGGUGGCAAAUGCCUGUAAUCCCAGCUACUGGGGAGGCUGAGACACAAGAAUCACUUGAACCCAGGAGGGGGAGUUUGCAGUGAGCCGAGAUUGUGCCACUGCAUGCCAGUCUGAACAACAGAGCAAGACUCUGUCACAAAAACAAACAAAAAACUGAAUGAAUGGAAGCAGAUAAGUGCAGAGAGAAACACUGAUUUACCUUCAGAAAGAUAAAAAAGUAGUAUAUUGAUAUACUUGUAUAUUGCUAUCUACUAGUAUAGCUUCAGUUGGUGUAUGAGUAUAGAACUAUUGGGUUGUUCUUUAUGUGAUUACUCCUUCCCAGUUUUAGUAAAGUAUUCCAAUUUGAGGGAAAUUCUUUCAUUUGUCAAUAAAAUAAAAAGAGGUAAGUUUUAAAAUCUGUAUAGUUCUUCCUUCAUGCUAGUUGCCUCUCUUUUUGAUAUUUCUUCUAUAAAAAUCUUUUCUUACAUUCAGUUUUCAUUGUAUAGAUCAUGAAGGAACCAUAGUGAUUAUCAAAGAUCAGCCGAUAAGUUCAAGGCAGAGUUCCACCUUUCCCCAUGAAGCCCUUCCAGACUUGUUUACAUGUAACACCCUUGAAGGCAAGACUCAUGUCUAUGCUAUCUUUGCUGCUAUUUGGCACGUAUUAGGUGUAAGGGCAAUUAGACCAUAUCAAUUAAUGAUCAGUAAGAAUGGAUAAAGUAGAUGUUUUUGUGAGCCUCUCAAAGAAGAUGUAUAGAAUAUUUUGGAAAUGGGCCCAAUUUGUUUCUAAAGGAAAAUUUACUUUCAAAUUAAAAAAAAAAAAUCACUCAAAUGAGAUUUUGGGGGAUUUCAUAUGAUUAACUCUUUACAUUAUCUUGUGGUAAUUAUACAGAAAUCUGUAUUUAUGUAAACACAGUAAAUGCAUCAUAACACUAGAAUAAGUAUACAAAUACUGCAUGUCAAAUUAGGUUAUAAUCACUUUCAAGGGACGUGAUUUCCUAGCUAAACAGAUUCGUUUACAUUUUGCAAAAUAAAAAAUAAGUGAAAAUAACUAUAUAAAAUCAGGCUUACAGCUGGACAGAUCUUCUUGGCAAUGGUCCAGACACUGAGUAGGGAAAAGCCCCUCCAGCUGAGGAACGUUCAGGACGCUCAGGACGACUUUGCAGGCGCGGCCGGGAGAGAGGCCAUUUUUGGGGUUGCCUUGACUGUGCACCCUGUUCCUGGCUACCUAUGGGGAGAUAAGCUGCAUUCACAUAUCAGAUGAGACUCUUUUUGUGAGAGGUCUGGGGUGGGAUGUGGGAAGUGGAGUGAAAACCUGCUUAGUAGGGGAGGAAAAAAACAAGCAAUCCAACACUUCACCUUUAGGUAAUAAACAUAAUAGAAAAAGUCAGGAAUUCUCUAACUAAAAAGCAGACAGUGGAAGCUAGCAUCGGACUCACUGAAUUUUAGAAUCAGGGUCUGUGUACCAUGGAUUAUCUGGCCCUGCCCUUGUCACUGGAUGAGAAGAUUCUGGCUAUAGGGCAAGAAGCAGUGCUUGGACCGAGAUCCAGAAUGUUACCCUCAAAUCUGAAGCUUAUUUAUGAGAUAAAUAAAGCUCAUAUUUUCAAGAGAGAUAAUUAUUUUAAAACUUCUCAUUUCAAUGUGUACCUUAAAAAAAUAAAUACAUUUUGGGCCAGGUGCGAUGGUUCAUGCCUGUAAUCCCAGCACUUUGGGAGGCCGAGGUGGGCAGAUCAUGAGGUCAGUUUGAGACCAGCCUGGCCAACAUAGUGAAACUCCGUCUCUACUAAAAAUAAAAAUAAAAAAAUUAGCUGGGCAUAGUGGCACGUACCUGUAGUCCCAGCUACUUAGGAGGCUGAAGCAGGAGAAUCGCUUGAACCCAUGAGGCAGAGGUUGUGGUGAGCCCAAAUUGCGCCACUGCACUCCAGCCUGGGCAACAGAGCAAGACUCCAUCUCAAAAAACCAAUCAACCAACCAACCAACAAAAAACAUUUCACAUCUCCCUGACGUAGCCAACAUUUUCUCCAACAUUCUCUUAUUUUGAUGGCAGAAGGGCAUAACUGUAAAUCUCAGUUUUUAUAUGGUAUUGUAUAAUAUAGUGGCAUCCUUUGCGGCCAGUUGAUUGUGAAGAGCAGUUUGCCUUUACUUAGCUUCCAUGAACAUUAGCUUUAAAUGCUCAUUGACAUUAAUGAGAGCCAGUUUGCUAAAUCUGUGUCUCCUUCAUGUUCAUUUGCUACUUAGUUUUGUUGAUUCCAAGAAGUCACUAAUUUUUUUAAAUCAUAGAUUCUGAUUUCGAGGUAGCUUCAUUUUUCUAGUGUUGAGUAAAAUGUGUGUGUGUGUGUGCUUUAGUUUAAUUAAUACUAAUUUUUAUUCAAAAUAUAUUUGUUGAGCACUUACUCUCUGCUGUGGCUGGGCAUACAUUACUUUCUUUCCACAGUCCGUUGGUUGAAUUGUCCUGAGCAGGGGUUGACAAAUGAUGGCCUGUGAGCCAAAUCUACCCCACUGCCUGUUUUUGUAAAUAAAGCUUUAUCAGAACAUA
rnacentral:lncRNA from 1 species